rnacentral:rRNA from 1 species
GACGAACGCUGGCGGCGUGCUUAACACAUGCAAGUCGAACGGUAAGGCCCUUCGGGGUACACGAGUGGCGAACGGGUGAGUAACACGUGGGUGAUCUGCCCUGCACUUCGGGAUAAGCCUGGGAAGCUGGGUCUAAUACCGGAUAGGACCACUGCCUGCAUGGGUGGUGGUGGAAAGCUUUUGCGGUGUGGGAUGGGCCCGCAGCCUAUCAGCUUGUUGGUGGGGUGAUGGCCUACGAAGGCGACGACGGGUAGCCGGCCUGGGAGGGUGACCGGCCACACUGGGACUGAGAUACGGCCCAGACACCUACGGGAGGCAGCAGUGGGGAAUAUUGCACAAUGGGCGCAAGCCUGAUGCAGCGACGCCGCGUGAGGGAUGACGGCCUUCGGGUUGUAAACCUCUUUCAGCACCGACGAAGCGCAAGUGACGGUAGGUGCAGAAGAAGGACCGGCCAACUACGUGCCAGCAGCCGCCGCAG